rnacentral:lncRNA from 1 species
CGCACCCGAUUAUCCGAAUAAGUUAUGGUACAGUUUAGACCCCCGAGACGAGGAGAAACUUCAGAAAGGCAUAGAGAGAAUGCUAAGAGUACUGGUGGCGGCCGGCGCGACGGAGAUCGGAACCCAUAACUGCGAAGGAAAGAUUUUCAAUGUGAAGAAAGGAAGUAAAGAGGAGUUGGAGGAGUUUGUUAAAGAAGCAAGUGGGAAAAGACUGAGGGAUUUAUCGACACCGUUGUGCUCCGCACAUCAGAUGGGAAGCUGUCGAAUGGGGACGGAGAUUUCCACUUCCGUCGUUAGCCCUAGAUGCGAAACGUGGGAGGUGGAAGGGUUGUUUGUGGCAGAUACGAGUGUUUUUCCGACGGC